rnacentral:rRNA from 1 species
UACGUAGGGUGCAAGCGUUGUCCGGAAUUAUUGGGCGUAAAGAGCUUGUAGGCGGUUUGUCGCGUCUGCUGUGAAAUUUCGGGGGCUCAACCCCCGAACUUGCAGUGGGGUACGGGCAGACUAGAGUGUGGUAGGGGGAGACUGGAAUUCCUGGUGUAGCGGUGAAAUGCGCAGAUAUCAGGAGGAACACCGAUGGCGAAGGCAGGUCUCUGGGCCAUAACUGACGCUGAGAAGCGAAAGCAUGGGAGCGAACAGG